rnacentral:rRNA from 1 species
CAGUAGCCACGGUAAUACAGAGGAUGCGAGCGUUAAUCGGAAUUACUGGGCGUAAAGCGUGCGCAGGCGGUUGUGUAAGACAGGUGUGAAAUCCCCGGGCUUAACCUGGGAACUGCGCUUGUGACUGCACAGCUAGAGUAUGGCAGAGGGGGGUGGAAUUCCACGUGUAGCAGUGAAAUGCGUAGAGAUGUGGAGGAACACCGAUGGCGAAGGCAGCCCCCUGGGCCAAUACUGACGCUCAUGCACGAAAGCGUGGGGAGCAAACAGGAUUAGAUACCCCCGUAGUCCCUGUCUCUUAUAC